AUGUGAACUAUUGUGUGGCAACACACAAUGCAUUUAUUAGACAACAACCAAUACGUAUGUGCUGGGUAGCAAUACUUGGUGCUGGACGUCAAGGUGAAUCUAGAUAACUUUGCUGAUCGUAUGGCCUUGUGCCGACGACGUUUCAAUUGAAUUUCUGCCCUAUCAACUAGUUGGUAAGGUCGUGGCUUACCAAGGUUGCAACGGGUAACGGGGAAUCAGGGUUCGAUUCCGGAGAGGGAGCCUGAGAAACGGCUACCACAUCCAAGGGAGGCAGCAGGCGCGCAAAUUACCCAAUCCAGACACUGGGAGGUGGUGACGAGAAAUACUGGACUGUUAGUGACAAACUUGCAGUACCGGAAUGAACAUAAUUUAAGACUGUUGUCGAGAAACAACUAGAGGGCAAGCCUGGUGCCAGCAGCCGCGGUAAUUCCAGCUCUAGUAGUGUCGUGUGACGUUGCUGCGGUUAAAACGCACGUAGUUGGAUAACGCAGUGUGAGAACGGUACUCAAUGUGUGGUAACAUUGAAGCUUCUUUGUGGCUUAGUAUGCAGGAUAACGAGUGUAUGUUGAAAGACUGCAUUACGACCUGUGUGUCUAACUACUUUGAGGUGUUGCAGCACAUUGAAUCCAGCCGUCUCAUACUACAUGUAUCGUGAAUGUAAUAUAUAGCCUUGAUUGGUCGUGUAUUGUGUUUGCGGAGUGUGCCUUGAAUAAAUCAAAGUGCUUAAAGCAGGCGUGUUAGCUUGAAUGUUAAUAGCAUGGAACGAACAAUUGUGAAUGCACAAGUGCAGUGUAAUGUGUGAACUCCGUUUAUGCAUAUGAUUGAACUUGUGUUGCACCAACCAUUGGUACGGAUGUUGGUUUCCGUAUCGAGGUGAGUAUUAAAACGAGCGGUUGGGGGCCUUAAUAUUUGGCAGC
rnacentral:rRNA from 1 species